GUGCUAGCCUUGGCAGCGUGUAUACUAAAAUUGUCACCAUACAGAGACUCACACAGCCCCUGUGUGAGGAUGAUAUGCAAAUUCAUGAAACGGUCCAUAUUUAA
ensembl:snRNA LOC120095372 U6 spliceosomal RNA